UACGGGGGGAGCAAACGUUGUUCGGAAUCAUUGGGCGUAAAGAGCGUGUAGGCGGUCCGGUAAGUCCGCUGUGAAAGUCGGGGGCUCAACCCUCGAAUGCCGGUGGAUACUGUCGGGCUAGAGUGCGGAAGAGGCGAGUGGAAUUCCUGGUGUAGCGGUGAAAUGCGCAGAUAUCAGGAGGAACACCAAUUGCGAAGGCAGCUCGCUGGGACGUAACUGACGCUGAGACGCGAAAGCGUGGGGAGCAAACAGG
rnacentral:rRNA from 1 species